CCUACGGGGUGCAGCAGUGGGGAAUAUUGGGCAAUGGACGCAAGUCUGACCCAGCAACGCCGCGUGAAGGAAGAAGUCUUUCGGGUUGUAAACUUCUUUUAAGGGGGAAGAGCAGAAGACGGUACCCCUUGAAUAAGCCACGGCUAACUACGUGCCAGCAGCCGCGGUAAUACGUAGGUGGCAAGCGUUGUCCGGAUUUAUUGGGUUUAAAGGGUGCGUAGGCGGUUUUUUAAGUUAGUGGUUAAACGUCGGGGCUUCACCUUGAUUUGCCAUUAAUACUGUACGACUCGAGUUCAGACGAGGUAGGCGGAAUAAGUUAAGUAGCGGUGAAAUGCUUAGAUAUAAGGUAGAACGCCGAUAGCGAAGGCAGCUUACCAGACUGCGACUGACGCUGAAGCACGAGAGCGUGGGUAGCGAACAGGAUUAGAUACCCGUGUAGUC
rnacentral:rRNA from 1 species